GACGAACGCUGGCGGCGUGCCUAAUACAUGCAAGUUGAGCGAUGAAGCUUGGUGCUUGCACCCAUUUGAAGAGCAGCGAACGGGUGAGUAACGCGUGGGGAAUCUGCCUUUGAGCGGGGGACAACAUUUUGAAACGAAUGCUAAUACCGCAUAAUAACUUUAAACAUAAGAUUUAAGUUUGAAAGAUGCAAUUGCAUCACUCAAAGAUGAUCCCGCGUUGUAUUAGCUAGUUGGUGAGGUAAAGGCUCACCAAGGCGAUGAUACAUAGCCGGCCUGAGAGGGUGAUCGGCCAAAUUGGGACUGAGACACGGCCCAAGCUCCUAAGGGAGGCAGCAGUAGGGAAUCUUCGGCAAUGGACGAAAGUCUGACCGAGCAACGCCGCGGGAGUGAAGAAGGUUUUCGGAUCGUAAAACUCUGUUGGUAGAGAAGAACGUUGGUGAGAGUGGAAAGCUCAUCAAGUGACGGUAACUACCCAGAAAGGGACGGCUAACUACGUG
rnacentral:rRNA from 1 species